AGCUUUAUAGUUUAAUAAAAACAUAAAUUUUGUAAAUUUAAAUUAAAUAUAUAAAUUUUUAAGCUU
rnacentral:tRNA from 2 species